GGGCCCGCACAAGCAGCGGAGCAUGUGGUUUAAUUCGAAGCAACGCGAAGAACCUUACCUAGACUUGACAUACUCUGAAUUACCUGUAAUGAGGGAAGCCCUUCGGGGCAGAGAUACAGGUGGUGCAUGGUUGUCGUCAGCUCGUGUCGUGAGAUGUUGGGUUAAGUCCCGCAACGAGCGCAACCCUUAUUGUUAGUUGCUACCAUUUAGUUGAGCACUCUAGCGAGACUGCCGGGGUUAACUCGGAGGAAGGUGGGGAUGACGUCAAAUCAUCAUGCCCCUUAUGUCUAGGGCUACACACGUGCUACAAUGGCGAGAACAAAGAGAUGCAAUACCGCGAGGUGGAGCAAAACUCAUAAAACUCGUCCCAGUUCGGAUUGUAGGCUGAAACUCGCCUACAUGAAGCCGGAGUUGCUAGUAAUCGCGAAUCAGAAUGUCGCGGUGAAUACGUUCCCGGGCCUU
rnacentral:rRNA from 1 species